AAAAAAAAUUGGAGGCACCGCUUUUUGGAGCCCCAAAAUCUUGGCGCCCAAGGCAACCGCCUAGUUCUCCUUAAUGUAGCACCGGCCCUGCUCCCAGCAUCCCA